rnacentral:rRNA from 1 species
UAAGGAAUAUUGGACAAUGGAGGCAACUCUGAUCCAGCCAUGCCGCGUGAAGGAAUAAGGCCCUAUAGGUUGUAAACUUCUUUUAGACGGGACAAAACCCCUUUACGUGUAAAGGGUUGAUGGUACUGUCAGAAUAAGCAUCGGCUAACUUCGUGCCAGCAGCCGCGGUAAUACGAAGGAUGCAAGCGUUAUCCGGAAUUAUUGGGUUUAAAGGGUGCGUAGGCGGACUAAUAAGUCAGUGGUGAAAGCCUGCAGCUUAACUGCAGAAUUGCCAUUGAUACUGUUAGUCUUGAGUACAGUUGAGGUAGGCGGAAUGUGUCAUGUAGCGGUGAAAUGCUUAGAUAUGACACAGAACACCGAUUGCGAAGGCAGCUUGCUAAGCUGUAACUGACGCUGAGGCACGAAAGCGUGGGGAGCAAAC